rnacentral:antisense_RNA from 1 species
CGUUAUGGCAGGUCUGGAGAGGGACACCUCCGGGUGUGCUGGUUUCCUUCGUUACCAGUCGACCAACCCUUUUCGGUCCUGCCACCCUC